rnacentral:rRNA from 1 species
ACAACUUUCAGCAACGGAUCUCUUGGCUCUCGCAUCGAUGAAGAACGCAGCGAAAUGCGAUAAGUAAUGUGAAUUGCAGAAUUCAGUGAAUCAUCGAAUAUUUGAACGCACCUUGCGCUCCUUGGUAUUCCGAGGAGCAUGCCUGUUUGAGUGUCAUUA